rnacentral:rRNA from 1 species
GACGAACGCUGGCGGCGUGCUUAACACAUGCAAGUCGAACGGAAAGGCCCUGCUUUUGUUGGGUGCUCGAGUGGCGAACGGGUGAGUAACACGUGAGUAACCUGCCCUUGACUUUGGGAUAACUUCAGGAAACUGGGGCUAAUACCGGAUAGGAGCUCCUGCUGCAUGGUGGGGGUUGGAAAGUUUCGGCGGUUGGGGAUGGACUCGCGGCUUAUCAGCUUGUUGGUGGGGUAGUGGCUUACCAAGGCUUUGACGGGUAGCCGGCCUGAGGGGGUGACCGGCCAAAUUGGGACUGAGAUACGGCCCAGACUCCUACGGGAGGCAGCAGUGGGGAAUAUUGCACAAUGGGCGGAAGCCUGAUGCAGCAACGCCGCGUGCGGGAUGACGGCCUUCGGGUUGUAAACCGCUUUCGCCUGUGACGAAGCGUGAGUGACGGUAAUGGGUAAAGAAGCACCGGCUAACUACGUG